AACGAACGCUGGCGGCAUGCCUAACACAUGCAAGUCGAACGAGACCUUCGGGUCUAGUGGCGCACGGGUGCGUAACGCGUGGGAACCUGCCCUUAGGUUCGGAAUAACUCCCCGAAAGGGGUGCUAAUACCGGAUAAUGUCUUCGGACCAAAGAUUUAUCGCCUUUGGAUGGGCCCGCGUUGGAUUAGCUAGUUGGUAGGGUAAAAGCCUACCAAGGCGACGAUCCAUAGCUGGUCUGAGAGGAUGAUCAGCCACACUGGGACUGAGACACGGCCCAGACUCCUACGGGAGGCAGCAGUGGGGAAUAUUGGGCAAUGGGCGAAAGCCUGAUCCAGCAAUGCCGCGUGAGUGAUGAAGGCCUUAGGGUUGUAAAGCUCUUUUACCCGGGAUGAUAAUGACAGUACCGGGAGAAUAAACUCCGGCUAACUCCGU
rnacentral:rRNA from 1 species